rnacentral:rRNA from 1 species
UACGUAGGGUGCGAGCGUUGUCCGGAAUUAUUGGGCGUAAAGAGCUCGUAGGCGGUCUGUCGCGUCGGUCGUGAAAACUUGGGGCUUAACCCUGAGCUUGCGGUCGAUACGGGCAUGACUGGAGUUCGGCAGGGGAGACUGGAAUUCCUGGUGUAGCGGUGAAAUGCGCAGAUAUCAGGAGGAACACCGGUGGCGAAGGCAGGUCACUGGGCCGCAACUGACGCUGAGGAGCGAAAGCAUGGGGAGCGAACAGG